rnacentral:tRNA from 1 species
GUUUUAAUAGUUUAAACAAAACAAUGAUUUUGUAAAUCAAAAUUAGGCUAAGCCUUUAAAACU